ACGCACGCUGGCGGCAGGCCUAACACCUGCAAGUCGAGCGAGGACUUCGGUUCUAGCGGCGGACGGGUGAGUAACGCGUGGGAAUGUGCCCUUCUCUACGGAAUAGCCCUGGGAAACUGGGAGUAAUACCGUAUACGCCCUAUUGGGGAAAGAUUUAUCGGAGAAGGAUCAGCCCGCGUUGGAUUAGGUAGUUGGUGGGGUAAUGGCCUACCAAGCCGACGAUCCAUAGCUGGUUUGAGAGGAUGAUCAGCCACACUGGGACUGAGACACGGCCCAGACUCCUACGGGAGGCAGCAGUGGGGAAUCUUAGACAAUGGGGGCAACCCUGAUCGAGCCAUACCGCGUGAGUGAUGAAGGCCUUAGGGUUGUAAAGCUCUUUCAGCUGGGAAGAUAAUGACGGUACCAGCAGAAGAAGCCCCGGCUAACUCCGUG
rnacentral:rRNA from 1 species